GGCAAAUAUCAUUAUAAGUUCAGUGCUACUUUAAGGCUCAUGUCAAAACAGCUGAGGCAGAAGCUACGGGGCAGGCGUCAAGCAUUUGGAUAUGAUCAGUAUCUCAGACGGCACAAUAAAUCCUCACAAAGAACACCGCGUAGGCGGAACCCAGUUCCUCACGACUUCGACCAGCAGCCCUUACCUGGCCAUGCCACGACUCUCUGCUCUUGACCCCUGUUGAGAACAACAGCUGAGUUUCAUCUACGGGGGAAUAUGGCUCUAAUAAAAGUUGCUUUAUUUGGGCCUUGCGUACGUAUGCCCCUAAAAUUGCUUCAUGUUUUUUUGUCAAGGCGCUAAAGAAACAUUCUGAGCUAGACUGUUUCUAAGCUACAGUACUUUUUCCUGUAUAAAGUGCUCCUUCUUUUGACUGGAUUAAUGGCACCCCGGAACAGAGCGAGGUCAGGUGACCAACCCAGUCAUUCACUUCACAUGCACUCUAUUACCAGCGAUAUUGGAUUCUGUUCCCUCUUGUUCCCCCCACCCCCCCAACAACCGUUUCAAUAAAAUUGUACCCAAAUAAA